GAUAAACGCUGGCGGCGUGCCUAAUACAUGCAAGUCGAACGAAGAGCUUGUAGCAAUACGGGCUCUUAGUGGCGAAUGGGUGAGUAACGCGUUGGUGACCUGCCCCGAAGUAGGGGAUAACAGUUCGAAAGGACUGCUAAUACCACAUGUGGCCAGUGGAUUUAGAAACCACUGUCUAAAGCAGUAAUGCGCUUCGGGAGGGACCUGCGUCCCAUCAGCUAGUUGGUAGGGUAAUGGCCUACCAAGGCUACGACGGGUAGGGGGCCUGAGAGGGUGGCCCCCCACACUGGCACUGAAACACGGGCCAGACAACUACGGGUGGCAGCAGUAGUGAAUAUUGCACAAUGGGCGAAAGCCUGAUGCAGCAACGCCGCGUGCGCGAUGAAGGCCUUCGGGUCGUAAAGCGCUUUUUGGGGAGAUGAGGAAGGACAGUAUCCCCAGAAUAAGGAUCGGCUAACUACGUGCCAGCAGCCGCAGUAAAAC
rnacentral:rRNA from 1 species